rnacentral:rRNA from 1 species
GACGAACGCUGGCGGCGUGCUUAACACAUGCAAGUCGAGCGGAAAGGCCACUUCGGUGGUACUCGAGCGGCGAACGGGCGAGUAACACGUGAGUAAUCUGCCUUUGGCUUUGGGAUAGCCCCCGGAAACGGUGAUGAAUACCGGUUAUGACCACUCUAGGCAUCUAGUGGUGGUGGAAAGUUUUUCGGCCAGGGAUGUGCUCGCGGCCUAUCAGCUUGAUGGUGAGGGAAUGGCUCACCAUUGCUUCGACGGGUAGCCGGCCUGAGAGGUGUGACCGGUCACACUGUGACUGAGACACGGCCCAGACUCCUACGGGAGGCAGCAGUGGGGAAUAUUGGACAAUGGGCGGAAGCCUGAUCCAGCAACGCCGCGUGAGGGAUGACGGCCUUCGGGUUGUAAACCUCUUUCAGCAGGGACGAAGCACAAGUGACGGUACCUGCAGAAGAAGCACCGGCCAACUACGUGCCAGCCGCCGCCGUAAGAC